rnacentral:tRNA from 1 species
GUGGCGCAAGUGUUGCCGGCCGCACAUCUGCCUUCCAAGCAGGGGGACGGGGUUCGACUCCCCGGCGCUGCA